CGCGAAGAACCUUACCUGGGCUUGAUAUCCUAAGAACCUUUUAGAGAUAAGAGGGUGCUAGCUUGCUAGAACUUAGAGACAGGUGCUGCACGGCUGUCGUCAGCUCGUGUCGUGAGAUGUUGGGUUAAGUCCCGCAACGAGCGCAACCCACGUAUUUAGUUGCUAACGGUUCGGCCGAGCACUCUAAAUAGACUGCCUUCGUAAGGAGGAGGAAGGUGUGGACGACGUCAAGUCAUCAUGGCCCUUAUGCCCAGGGCGACACACGUGCUACAAUGGCAUAUACAAUGAGACGCAAUACCGCGAGGUGGAGCAAAUCUAUAAAAUAUGUCCCAGUUCGGAUUGUUCUCUGCAACUCGAGAGCAUGAAGCCGGAAUCGCUAGUAAUCGUAGAUCAGCCAUGCUACGGUGAAUACGUUCCCGGGUCUUGUACUCACCGCCCGUCACACCAUGGGAGUUGAUUUCACUCGAAGCCGGAAUACUAAACUAGUUACCGUCCACAGUGGAAUCAGCGACUGGGGUGAAGUCGUAACAAGGUAACCGUAGGAGAACCUGCGGUUGGAUCACCUCCUUUCUA
rnacentral:rRNA from 1 species